rnacentral:lncRNA from 1 species
CUGAGCGUGCUCAGGCCCUCCCAGCCGAGGGAAUCGAGCUGCCCCAGCAGCUUCAGGGCCUCUUCCUCUUCCUCCACCAGGACCAAGGUGGGACAGAACCGCACCUCCCUUGGAGGAAGAAGGCUGCAGGGGACUCAAGGCAUGGUACACACUCAUGCGUGCCUGCCAUUCCAGGAAUCUGGGAGGCUGAGGCAGGAGGAUUGCAAGUUCCAGCCCAGCCUGGGCAACCUAACAAGACCCUGUCUCAUAAUAAAAAAGUAAAUUUAGAGGCCAGGAGUGUGUUCAGUCCCCAGUACCACACACACAAAACAAGAUGCUCAGCCUCAGCGCUGCCGAAACCUCGACCCAGAUGCUAAACCCCGGGCUCAGGAAGCUCAGGAUAUCCAGGGAGCAGGGGACACUGGUGUCAGAGCCCUGCCCACACUGCAGCCAGCCCCUCUUUCCGCUGCCUCUGUCAUCCCAGGCCCCCAGGCAUGGGUUGGGCAGCUCUGCCACCUGGGCACUGCCCAGGAGUGGGAGGCAACAGCGACCUCCCGGAGUUAGUGCGAAACGGGGGCUGGCACAGAUCGGGCCCCUUCAAGACCCCACUGUGGGGACACGGUGGGUCAUGAAGCCCCAGCAGCACUGCCAGGACAAGACCAGCCUGCUCCCCAGCUCGGUGCCGUGCAGAGGCCUUGGGAAGACCGAGGAUCCUGCCCAAAGGUCAUGCGGGGUGACCCAGGGCUUUGGGGGCUACGGGAAGCCUGAGGCCAGGGCUGCCCAUCUCUCCAGCCCGCUCAGGCGGGGUCAGCUAAGACCACCUCGGCUCUCUCCAACAUCAACAGGGCUUGAUACCCCCCACCCCUUUCCCAGUACUGGGGAAUGAACCCAGGGCCUUCCCACUGAGCUACAUCCUCAGCCCUUUUAUUUUUAUCUUGAGACAGAGUCUUUCUAAGCUGCUAAAUUGCCCAAACUGGGCUUGAACUUGCGAUCCUCCUGCCUCACCCUCCCGAGUGUUGGGAUGACAGGCGUGAGCCACCACGCCCAGCCUGCCGCCCCUGCUGACAGAGGGAAUGGGGGCUCCUCUUCUGAGCCAGGUGCUCGGAUCCCCAGGAUGCUCCGGGGCCAGCUAGCAGAGCCCAGCGUAGGCCCCGCCCUCCCGCCCUCCGCGCCUACGUGGCCGUGCUGGGCGGAGCACUGGGCUUCGGCAGCCUGGAGUCUGUUCUCGGCAACCAGGAGCUUCUCCCGCAGCCGCUCGUAGUCCAGCAUCUUCCGCUCGGCCAGCGCAAUCUGCCCCUUGAGGAACUCGAUGGCCUGCGCCUGCCCGCGGUACUCCACGUCCAGCCCCUCCAGCUCCUGCGCGCGCAGCUCGGCGUUGCGGCGCCCGUCGCGGGCCUCCUGCAGCUCCAGCCGGUGCUGGGCGGCCUGCGCCUCCAGCUGGGCGCGCCAGUGCUGCCGCAGCCCGGCCAGUUCCUCCUGCGCCUCCUGCAGCUUCCUCCAUCGCAGGCCCUCCUUCUCCUUGGCGUGCACGGCCAUCUCCAGCUGGUGCUCCAUCUUGAUGCCCUCCAGCACGGCCUUGAGCUCCCCUAUCUCCUUCUGCUGGGCGCCGGGGCCCGAGUUCAGCGUGGCCUUCAAGUCCUCCAGGGACUUCUGGUGGUCGGAGGCCAGCGGAGUCCAGCUUGGACUUCCAGUUGUCCAUGAGCCCCAUGUUCUCGCUGGUGGCCUGCUGCACCUUGGCCUUGAGGUCGGCCACCUCCUGCGCGAUACUUGUCGUUCGGCGGCACGCAGCUUGUCCACCUCGGCCUGGUAGGGCCUUCAGCGCC